rnacentral:rRNA from 1 species
CCUACGGGAGGCAGCAGUGAGGAAUAUUGGUCAAUGGCCGGAAGGCUGAACCAGCCAAGCCGCGUGAAGGACGAAGGUGCCAAGCAUUGUAAACUUCUUUUGUCAAGGGACAAAAUCAGGCUCGAGAGCCUUACCGAGUGUACUUGAAGAAAAAGCAUCGGCUAACUCCGUGCCAGCAGCCGCGGUAAUACGGAGGAUGCGAGCGUUAUCCGGAUUUAUUGGGUUUAAAGGGUGCGCAGGCGGAGGCACAAGUCAGCGGUAAAAUCGCGGGGCUCAACCCCGCUCCGCCGUUGAAACUGUGGCCCUGGAGUGCGCGAAGGGUAGGCGGAAUGCGUGGUGUAGCGGGGAAAUGCAUAGAUAUCACGCAGAACUCCGAUCGCGAAGGCAGCCUACCGGCGCGCAACUGACGCUCAUGCACGAAAGCGUGGGUAUCGAACAGGAUUAGAUACCCUAGUAGUC